rnacentral:tRNA from 1 species
GGGCAGAUACCCAAGUGGCCAACGGGGGCAGACUGUAAAUCUGCUGGCGUAUGCCUUCGCUGGUUCGAAUCCAGCUCUGCCCA